rnacentral:rRNA from 1 species
UGCUGCGGCAGUAUUCCGACUGUGCUACGGUAGCAUGGUAGCUUGAUGAUUAAUUGUCUUCUAGAAUGAAUGGUUUGACGAAAAAUAAUCUUUCUUCUAUAAAAUUUAAAUUAAUCUAAAUAAAUAAAAAAGUCUAUAUUCUUUAGAGUGACGAUAAGACCCUAAAACCUUUACAAACUACUUGUUGUUUUGCUGGGGCGGCAAAUCAUAUUUCAUAAUUUUCUAAAACAUAAUGAAUGAAUUUGACUAACUAAAAAUAAAUCUAAGAAGGUACUUUAGGGAUAACAGUAUAAUUUUUAUUGAGAGUAACUUAUCGACAUAAAAGAUUAUAACCUCGAUGUUGAAUUGAUAAACCUUUAUUAAGCAGCCAUAGGAA